rnacentral:rRNA from 1 species
ACGGGAGGCAGCAGUGGGGAAUCUUGCGCAAUGGGCGAAAGCCUGACGCAGCGACGCCGCGUGCGGGAAGAAGGCCUUCGGGUUGUAAACCGCUUUCAGGAGGGACGAAGCCACUCGGGUUAAUAGCCCAGAGGGUGACGGUACCUCCAGAAGAAGCCCCGGCUAACUACGUGCCAGCAGCCGCGGUAAUACGUAGGGGGCUAGCGUUGUCCGGAUUUAUUGGGCGUAAAGAGCGUGUAGGCGGCCAGGCAGGUCCGCUGUGAAAACUCGAGGCUUAACCUCGAGACGUCGGUGGAAACCGUCUGGCUAGAGUCCGGAAGAGGAGAGUGGAAUUCCCGGUGUAGCGGUGAAAUGCGCAGAUAUCGGGAAGAACACCCGUGGCGAAGGCGGCUCUCUGGGACGGUACUGACGCUGAGACGCGAAAGCGUGGGGAGCGAACAGGAUUAGAUACCCUGGUA